AUGUUAUGAUGUGUGUUUAAACUGAUGAACAAAGAUCCUGGAGUGUCCUCAGAGUGCCUGGGGCCCCUGGGCAGGGGGUUACCUGCUCCAGGAGCCACAUUAUGGCACCCAGGCCCCUGAACACUCCAAAGCCAUGGACACCCAGGGGCACUGGCUUAUGUGGGAGGAGUCCAUCACUGCUGAUAGCAUUUAAAUGAACACUCUUCACAGAAAUUGCUCCUUUAAAAAUAAUCUAUUUUUGUUAAUAUAAGGAUUUUUUUCUGGGGUUUUUGUACAUGUACCCACAAGGGAGUUUCAUUAUAAGUUACAUCUUUGCCUAAUUAGAGAAAAGUAGAGCUGCUUGUUAAAUAUCUGAAGCAUUCUAAAAGAAAUUAAAUAUAACAUUUUCAAGAAAAAUAAUUAUAUUUUCCAAAAAAAAAAAAAAUUUUUUAAAUUAGCAAGUAUUUCAGUCAGCUUUUUUGCUGCGGUAACUAAGCACCCAACCAGAACAAUAGUAGAUGAAGAAAGUUUAAGAGGUCUCAGUCCAUAGACAACAGAAUCCAGCAGGAGGCAGCUCACAUAAUCAGUAAACAGGGAUACAAGAUACACCAGAUACACCACUCACCAGAUACAAAUAUCCACCCCAAAGCCAUACGCACGCCCACCUCCUCCAGCCACACCAUAGCUGCCUUCAGUCACCAAUCAAUCCCACCAGAGUAGUAAUUCACUCUUUGGGUUAACUCUCCAAAUCCAAUCACUUCAUAAACCUUGCUGUUUUCUCUCACAUGAGAUAAUGGGAGAUACCUCACAUCCAAACAAUAACAGUAAGAAUGACAUUUUAAAUUUUUAAAAAUCUGUCUUAUAUCUGAUUCAGUUGAAGAUACACCUCUUGUGAGGUGUUUACAGAGUAAGAAGCAAGAGAACUGCACAGACCUAGGGAUAGAGAGGAAUGAGAGCCCCAAUGUCCUCCUCACACAGACCUGUGGAUGGACAGCAGGGGAGCUCAGUGUCUUCCUCAACAGACCUGUGGAUGGACAGCAGUGGGAGUCAGUGUCCUCCUCACACAGACCUGUGGAUGGACAGCAGGGGAGCUCAGUGUCCUCCUCACACAGACCUGUGGAUGGACAGGAGUAUAGUCUCUUCAAUUUUUUCCUUUCCUUUUAUUUGAACUACUUUCAAAUACACAUUAUUCUUAAAGAGGGAUAUUUAAUUGCAGAGUGG
rnacentral:lncRNA from 1 species